AUUGAACGCUGGCGGCAGGCUUAGCACAUGCAAGUCGAGCGGAGAUGAGGUGCUUGCACCUUAUCUUAGCGGCGGACGGGUGAGUAAUGCUUAGGAAUCUGCCUAUUAGUGGGGGACAACAUUCCGAAAGGAAUGCUAAUACCGCAUACGUCCUACGGGAGAAAGCAGGGGAUCUUCGGACCUUGCGCUAAUAGAUGAGCCUAAGUCGGAUUAGCUAGUUGGUGGGGUAAAGGCCUACCAAGGCGACGAUCUGUAGCGGGUCUGAGAGGGUGAUCCGCCACACUGGGACUGAGACACGGCCCAGACUCCUACGGGAGGCAGCAGUGGGGAAUAUUGGACAAUGGGGGGAACCCUGAUCCAGCCAUGCCGCGUGUGUGAAGAAGGCCUUAUGGUUGUAAAGCACUUUAAGCGAGGAGGAGGCUACUUUAGUUAAUACCUAGAGAUAGUGGACGUUACUCGCAGAAUAAGCACCGGCUAACUCUGUGCCAGCCGCCGCCGUAA
rnacentral:rRNA from 1 species